rnacentral:rRNA from 1 species
UACGGAGGGUGCAAGCGUUAUCCGGAUUUACUGGGUUUAGAGGGUGCGUAGGUGGGUCUGUAAGUCAGUGGUGAAAUCUCCGAGCUUAACUCGGAAACUGCCGUUGAUACUAUAGAUCUUGAAUUAUCUGGAGGUAAGCGGAAUAUGUCAUGUAGCGGUGAAAUGCUUAGAUAUGACAUAGAACACCAAUUGCGAAGGCAGCUUACUACGGAUAUAUUGACACUGAGGCACGAAAGCGUGGGGAUCAAACAGG